AUGGGGCCCAGGGCAGGGCCCAGCACAGCCCAGGCCUCUGGGGCAGGCUGGGGCAAAAUGGCCCCUGUGCCCACCCCCGGGCGGGAGCCUGGGCCGCUGCACUGUGCUGCGAGGGGCCGUGCAGUGCGUGGGGCUGCACCACUGCGCUGGGAGACGGGGGGGAAUGCAGUGCAGGGGGCCAUGCCACCUCACUGUGGGGGAGAUGCUGCAGUGCAUGGGGCUGUACCGCUGCCUGCCAAGGCGGGGGCUGCAGUGUGGAACUCUGCCACCAGACUGCRGGGGGGGAAGGGGGAUGAAGUGUGUGGGGCCAUACCAGUGGGCUGCAGGGGGGAAUGCAGUGCGUGGGGCCUUAGCACUGGACUGUGGGGGGGGAUGCAGUGUGGGGGGCCAUACCACCACACUGCAGGGAGGGGAACGCAGUGUACACUGCUGUACCAUUAUACUGUGUGUGUGAGGGGGAAUGCAGUGUGGGGGGCCAUACCACUACACUGUGGGGGGAGCUGCAGUGUCGGGAGCUGUACCACUGCACUUGGGGGGGGGUCCAGUGCUUGGGGCCGCACCACAGUUCUGCGGGGGUGCUGCAGUGCCCUGCAUGGAGGAUCUGGUCCACAGCAGGUAGGGGGUGGGCCGUCCCACUGUCUGUGCUCGAGGGGAGGAAAGCUUUCCCAGCGGCCGGCCCCGGCGAGGCGGGCUGCGUGGGUGCCCAGGCGCCCCUCGCGCAGGCGGGUGGGCCCUUCCGGGGUCGCCGACACCAGUGCGGGGGGCGGGUGGGCGGAGGCGGUGCCCUUUGGCGCUCCCCGUCCACUUCCCCUUCCUGCCCCGCCCCCCAGCGGAGCGCCCUGGGCUGAUUGGCCGGCCUCGCGAGCCCUCGCCUCGCCCGCAAGCGCUGAUUGGCAGCUUAUGCGCAUGCUUCGGCCAAGAUGCCUUCCGGCUCUGAUUGGCCAAAGCCAUAGGAAGGACUCCAGCUCCUUUCGGCCAAUCAGCGCUUGGCGCUCACUCCGCGCGGACGGCCGAGGAGGGGAGUGGGGAAGACGAGUGAACGUCYCCGAGAGGUCGCGCCGCGCUGAUUGGGCAGGCCGAGCGCGGCGGCUCUCUCUGAUUGGGCGAACUCCUGGCCAGGGGGCGAGAGGCUCGGCCGUUGCCCCUCCCUCUCCGCGCCUCCUCCUCCUCCUCCCCCCCCCGCUGGCGUGCCGCGAGGGGACGGGGGAGGGGAAAGGCCGCGACGUGAGCGCGCGACCCCGUCCGCCAUUUUGUAGCGAAACCAGCGGAGGCGAGAGGAUAAAAGCGCGAGCGGCCCCAGCCCGGCGCCCCACUCCGGCCCCGACUCACCGCCUGAGGUGA
rnacentral:lncRNA from 1 species